CUGUCUGAGUCAGAUUGCCCUUGAAGCUGUCUACACGGCAGGUUCCUAUUAUCAUUUAGCUUUUCAUUCUGUGAUUCUCUGUAGGAGGGAGUUGGUGGUAAUGUCCUUUCAGGCUUGAUGUUCUGUUAAGAAGUGGGUGUUCUUUUUACCCUUAUUCACAAACUCCCAGUGGCGACCGCCUUGAGUGGGCUGUUUCUCUUCUUAGUCUAGCUAAAUCUGUGGGAUAGCUCAGAGGGAUUUUCCUCCCCGAGUCCCCGACAGCAGUGGGGCACCUCUGUGGGCGCCUCGUUUCCAAAACAGCUUUUACAUGGAUGAUGGCCAGAAGUACAAAGACUCGUAUUCCAAAUUCACUUCGACCUCUCCGCCAUCUUGAGAAGAAAAUGGCCAAGAAAAGAGCAAUGUGAUACCUGGGUCUGUCGCAGCCACCUUGGCAUCAUGAGGAGAGCCAGCUCAAAAGCACAAGUUAGCACCACAAUGAUGGCGAUUAGGAGGGCGUGAAACUCUGGGGCCUCGACAACGUCAUUGAGCUAUUGCUGAUGAACCAAUUUAGGCAAAACUCCAUCUGCAGACUUCUUACACGAGGCGUUCCUUACCUUCGCGCCUCACCUGUCCAUUCUGAGGACCACGGCAUCAUCCCAUGAAGAAGGAAAGCGGGCAUCAGGCCACUCCUUCAUGCCUGCCUGUUGUCGUCCAGGCGUCAGAAGGACUCUUGGUGAUAUGUCAACUUCAAGCUUUGCUGUCUCACCUGGAAUACAGCAGUAACAAUAGAUCCACUCUACCUGCUGGUUUUGCCUCAUUCCCAUUCAGAUACUACAAUGGAACCAGGGAUAUGCUUUCCUGAAGGCAGAGCUGAUGGUGCUGCUCCUCGGCUCACCAUCAUUUAACGGCCUUAUUAUCUACGGAUAUCUGCAGGCAUCUCAGUCCACCGUAGAAGGCCUGGCUCCAUCUGGGUCCUGCCUUCCUCUGUCAUCUCACCUUUCCCCUCAUCUUCCAUAGAUAUAAAAAUCUACCCACAUCAAACUACCUUAGCAUCCAGAGUGUGACCCAUGCUAAUACCUCCUUGGUGCCUUCAUUGCUGCUGCUUUCCUCUCUCUGGAUUGCAUUCUCUACCUUGUUCUCCCUGCACCUCCUUUAUAAAGUCACUUUUAUUUUUAUUUUAUUUUUUCUAAAUAAGGCCUGGCUCUGUCACCCAGGCUGGAGUGCAGUGGCGUGAUCUCGGCUCACUGCAACCUCUGCCUUCCAGGCUCAAGCAAUCCUCCCACCUCAGCCUCCUGAGUAGCUGGGACUACAGGUGUUCAUCACCACAUCCGGCUAGUUUUUGUAUUUUUUGUAGAGAUGGGGUAUUUGCCAUGUUGUCCAGGCUGGUCUUGAAGUCUUGGGCUCAAGCAAUCUGCCUGCUUCGGCUUCCUAAAGUGCUGGGAUUACAGGCCUGAGCUACUGUGCCCAGCCUGACUCACAUCUUUGGUGUCUUCUGAAAGGCCUUCCCCAAUCCCCUCAUGCAAAACCAGAGUCUACCUCUUCUCUGCUCCUCCUUUUACUCAGCUAACUGCACCAAUCCCCUUGCCUUAGGAUUGCUUCUUUGUCUCUCUCUCCAGCUACAUGCUGAGCAUGUUGUGGACAGAACUUGGUCCGGUUCAUCUUUUUCUAUCCAGUGUCCUGCAUUGGGCUUUGCACACACUGAGUGCCUGCCAGACACUUUGUGGUUUUAAUGGAAGUAAAUCCAGUGGAAAAAGUAAGCAUAAAACACCUGCAGCAAUUUCUGAUGCAAGCACGUUUGUUGUAGGCAUUUUCUUUUUGGGUUUGAUCCUAGGAAACCAGAAAAAAAAUCAAACAUUAACUCCUUUGCAGGGUAGUGUCUGGAAGUAGAUCUUGAACAGAGGAAGAGAACUUGGGAGGUUGAGGCAGCACUGCUACAUGAGCACUACUAACUGACCUGGAAGUAGUCAAUGCUUUGUUUUCUCUCAUAUAUUUUCCUGCCAUUCAGACCAUCAAAACACUUUUUUUUUUUUGAGACGGAGUUUCACUCUUGUUACCCAGGCUGGAGUGCAAUGGUGCGAUCUCGGCUCACCGCAACCUCCGCCUCCUGGGUUCAGGCAAUUCUCCUGCCUCAGUCUCCUGAGUAGCUGGGAUUACAGGCACACGCCACUAUGCCCAGCUAAUUUUUUGUAUUUUUA